UAAAAACAAAAAUUCUUUUGUUCUUCUUUCUCUUCUAUUCUUAAACGGGGCAAGAUGAAGGGAAGGCAAAGGGUUUUUCGCCUCCGUCGAUGCCUCCACGUCUCCGUCAUCGCAUCUCCUCGUCUCCGUCACACCUCUGCUCUCUCUCUCGUCUUCGGUGGCAAGGCGGAGCUGCGUCGGAGGCAGCUGCAGCGAAGCUUAUAAAGCGCAGGAAGCUUGCGAGUUUCUCCCUUGCCAUAGAUUUUCAUAUGUAAAAGCAGGGAUGGAGAUGGCUAUGAUUGAUGCAGCUUCUAAGAGCGUUGGAGUGCCUUUGUGGAAAUUAUUUUUUGUCUUGAAGAGAGACCUAUCUGCUUAGAAACUAAACUAUGGCACUAAAUGCUCAUAUCAAAAAAGCAAUGACAGCUAUGAAGGCUCUUGGAAUAGAGGAGGCGCAGAUAAAGCCUGUCUUGAAAAACCUUCUCAACCUUUACGAUAAGAAGUGGGACUAAAUAGCCUAGGACAACUACAGGGCUCUCGCUGAUGCUAUCUUCGAGAGCCAAGAGACUCAGGCCACUGAAGAGAAAAAAGGAAAGGAGAAGAAGGCCGACCAAGCUGAAGGCAGCGUAUGUUAUUUCCCCACAACCUACCUUUUAUUAUUUCAAUGACUGUAUUUUGGUUGGUUCUUUUAAUUUUUACUAUGCCCUUUGAUUUAGCACUGUUGUUUUUGUUUUUGGCUUUGCUAAUUAUGUCUUUGCAGUUGUUUUUGGUUGUUGUUAUUUGCAACCAAAAACAACUCUGAAAAGGUUCUUCCUGAGUUUUAAGAAGCAGCAAAAUCAUUUAAAGGAAAGGUAAGAACAUAGGUAGUAACUCUGAUUUAUUUUUGAUAUGCUUUGUUUCACAUCAAGAAAAGUACAUGAAUAUAUGAUCUUUGGAGGCAACGAUGGGUAAGAUUACUUCUGACAAGCCUUUGUUUCUUUCAAAUUGCAACAGCUCAUCUUUAAUUUGUACAUGUGGAUGUGGAUAAUGAGGAUUAUGGGAAGCCAGUUGCUGACUACUUUGGUGUGUCUGGCGAUGGUCCUAAAGAGAAGGCUCCCCAAGGCUGAUAAGCGCAAGGUUGAGUAUGAGAAGACAAGAAACUCUGUUUUUCCCGAAUCAUUCACAAGCAGAGGAGGAAAAAAAAAGAAAAGCUCCGGUGUUAGCCUAAGAUUGACGGUGGUAGCGGCAGUAUAAUGUUUGUGUUUAGGUUUCUGGUUUUUUUUGUCACUUAGGUUUCUGGUUUAGUUUUGGUUUGGGUUAUUUUGUAAACAAUUUCAAUAUAUAAAAUUUAUAAAAUAUUUAUAUCUGUA